rnacentral:rRNA from 1 species
CCCUUAGAUGUUCUGGGCCGCACGCGCGCCACACUGAUGCAUUCAACGAGUUUCUUCCUGGUCCGAGAGGAAUGGGUAACCUUUUGAAAGUGCAUCGUGAUAGGGAUAGACUAUUGCAAUUAUUGGUCUUCAACGAGGAAUUCCUAGUAGACGUAGUUCAUCAGACUACAUCGAUUACGUCCCUGCCCUUUGUACACACCGCCCGUCGCUCCUACCGAUUGAAUGCUCAGGUGAGCCAUUCGGACUUUCAUCAUGCUGGUUUCCAGUUUUGAUGAAGGAAAGUCUUGCGAACCUUAUCAUUUAGAGGAAGGAGAAGUCGUAACA